UCACCCCUCCUCCCUGCGCGUUCACCUACUCGUGAACUUGACCGACCCCGCCCCCAUCAUUCAUGCACACGCGACGAGGCUCAUCAUCACUUGGCUAGCAAGGUAACGAGAGUUAGCAGCAGGCUGAGCUACUUGGAAACUUUGCUGGCUUUUGCAGAGCUACAGGAAGAACUUUGGCUUUUGUUACACUGGACUAACCAUUUCAGGAUAACAUAGUCCCUUGGAUUAUAGUCAUUGGACUCGCAAGACCAGAUUCCAACACGGGCUGACAAUUGGAAAUGGGACCUGACACUCUUGGACACAGAUGUCGGCUACGGCAGCGGCUUCAAACAUAGGCUUUGGUGACCACAUUUCUAAUCGAGAGAAUCUAGUUGUGCGAACGAGCGACAAACCAGCUGGGAGGAUGGAAGCACCUGUUCUCAAUUCCCCUUCUCCACCCGCGUUCAGUAACUAAAUACGGAUUCACCCCGUAAUAAGUCAACCGCAGACAGGGUCCUUCCACAACCACAUACUUAUGCCAGUAAAAGCUACAGCUCUUCUCCGAUCCAAGAAGCCUGGACUGCAGUCACCAUCUCAACACACCAACCAAGAGAAAGGCGGAUGGCUCAAUUCAAUAUGGAAAAUUGCACAAUAAAAGUUCCAGGACAUGAAGGCUGCAUACUGUGAACGUCAACCUUCAGGGCACCGUCCUGUGCAGAAGACUUUCUGCCCCAAGAGGGAUGGCUGACUGCAGACACUCACAACCAGCACAGACGCCUCCAACCUCAGACUAGGCCCUUCACAGCUGCUGCACUUACCCACCUUCCCCGAGUUUUUGUGUGGUAAUGACAACUGUAAAUAUAGUAUAAAGUAAUGUAUCUAGUGUCAUGUGUAAUACAUUGUUUAAAUUGUCCAUACAUUUCAA